rnacentral:rRNA from 1 species
AUACGGAGGAUGCGAGCGUUAUCCGGAUUUAUUGGGUUUAAAGGGUGCGUAGGCUGUGCGUUAAGUCAGGGGUGAAAUGCCGUCGCUCAACGACGGAGCUGCCCUUGAUACUGGCGUGCUGGAGUACGGAUGCCGUUGGAGUAAUGAUAGGUGUAGCGGUGAAAUGCUUAGAUAUCACUCAGAACACCGAUUGCGAAGGCAUCUGACGAAUCCGUCACUGACGCUGAGGCACGAAAGCGUGGGGAUAGAACAGGAUUAGAUACCCUGGUAUUCCACGCCGUAAACGAUGAUGACUAACCGUCGGCGAUAGACAGCCGGUGGCCAAGCGAAAGCGAUAAGUCAUCCACCUGGGGAGUACGUCGGCAACGAUGAAACUCAAAGGAAUUGACGGGG